AUUUUAUUGAAUUUUUCUUGGCAGGAUCUUGAUCCUUGCCGUGUGUGAUGGUUUUAGAUUUAUGGUGGAAACCUCGUGUUGCGGAAUCAACGACCAGCACUGAGUGUUCUGGGCAGGAGGGACACCCAUGUGGUGAGGAGGUUGGUCUGGUGAUCAUUGGUUCCGGCUCCGGAGGCUGGCUGCUAUUAAAGCUGCCCAGUUGGGGAUGAAGACCCUUUGCAUUGAGAAGAACGACACAUGUGGUGUCACCUGCCUCAAUGUGUGAUAUAUCCCAUCGAAACCUCUCCUCAAUAAUACCCAUGGACAUUGCGCAGCUCUUCAAGAAGAAGUGCAUCUCAUUAAGGGCUACGGGAGUAUCACGUCAGUCAAGGAAGUCACCGCCAAGACUGAAUCUGGCUAAGAGAUGACUGCAACGGGAGCAGAAGUCAUCCAAUUUCUCCGGUAAGUCUGCAUUAUUAUUUCACGGCUGCCUUUACCCAUUCCAAGCUAUUUAUGAGAAAGGAGUUUAUACGUUUCCUUUAUGUAAAAUUAAAAUUAAAUUAAAUAGUAAAUUUUGUCGAUUUUUUUGCAGAUGGAUGGGUCGAAAGGUCAUAAAACGAAGGCUUGAAAAAUGGGGUGUCCAUAUCAACGUACACGCGACUGUGACUUUUAUAAAUCCACGUGGGAAGCUAGCUGCCCCUCAGAGGGAUACCAUCUACGGAAACAUCCACAACUCUGCGUGGGAGUCUAGCUGCCCCUUAGGGGAAUACCAUCGGAGACACCAGAGGCACUCGCAAUUCUUCAGUAUUAAAAAAACGACGUUCUUCAAGCUUCCGUCGUCGAAGAUCUUCGUGUUACAGCAUGCAUCAUGGGAUUCACAUGCAGAUAAGCCCAAAAUUAAUUUACCUUAUCAAAAUUGAUUAAAUGUGCCCUUUUCCAUACCCUAAUCAUACCCUUUUUGCAAAAUAUCCUAUUUUCCAUAAUAAUAAUUUUAUCCAGAAAAAUUGUGAAAAAUCAUCAUUUUUUUGAGUAAAAAGUGAUGAUGAUGUGUAAAAAAUGAUAAUUUUUUAUUUAUAAAUGAUUAUGAUGAUUUAUAAAAAAAACAUAUCAAAGACAAAAAAUAUAAUAUAAAUUGAAAAAUAUUUUAAAAGAAGAAAAAAGAUUUAAAAAAUGUUAAAAAAUAUAAAUAGGUUUUUUUCUAAUAAUUCUUAAUGAAAUUCAUCAUCAGGCGAAAAAAUGUUAUUUUUGUAAUUUUUCUUGUAAAAUUAUGUAAUAUUUUGUAUUUUAUUUCAUAUUAUUAAAUAAAAUAGAAAAAUAUAAAGAAAACUCGAUUUUUUAAUUAAAAAUAGACCGAUGGUCUGCAGACGGCAUCGGUUAUGACGUCACAAUAGUAGGGUCGAUUUUCGAGCCGACUGGGGUCGAUUUCGAACCGAUUUAUUGACCGAUUUUGCACCAAAAAAAAGUCUCACGGGGAUAGGGCAUUCAAUGUUAAAUGUCGGCAGACGAAUCGAUCUAUGCGUCGGCAAAUCGUCUGUUGAUAUGCUCGAUUUUGUCGUUCGAUAUCGACUCGACAUCGACAGA